rnacentral:rRNA from 1 species
AAUUUUGGACAAUGGGGGAAACCCUGAUCCAGCCAUCCCGCGUGUAUGAUGAAGGCCUUCGGGUUGUAAAGUACUUUUGGCAGAGAAGAAAAGGUACCUCCUAAUACGAGGUACUGCUGACGGUAUCUGCAGAAUAAGCACCGGCUAACUACGUGCCAGCAGCCGCGGUAAUACGUAGGGUGCAAGCGUUGAUCGGAAUUACUGGGCGUAAAGCGUGUUUAGGCGGUUCGGAAGGAAAGUUGUAAAAUCCAGGGGCUAAACCUGGGAACUGAAUUUUAACCGGCGGGGCAGGAGUAUGUAGGGGGGGGUUAGAAUCCAAGGGGUGGCAGGGAAAGGGGUGGUUAGGGGGAGGAAUCCGAUUGCCGAAGGAGGCCCCUGGGAUUAAUCCGGCGGCCAAGAACGGAAGGGUUGGGAGCAAACA